rnacentral:rRNA from 1 species
UGGGGGGGCCCCUUUUACAAUGCAGUCGAGCGGAUGAGGGAGCUUGCUCCUGGAUUCAGCGGCGGACGGGUGAGUAAUGCCUAGGAAUCUGCCUGGUAGUGGGGGAUAACGUCCGGAAACGGGCGCUAAUACCGCAUACGUCCUGAGGGAGAAAGUGGGGGAUCUUCGGACCUCACGCUAUCAGAUGAGCCUAGGUCGGAUUAGCUAGUUGGUGGGGUAAAGGCCUACCAAGGCGACGAUCCGUAACUGGUCUGAGAGGAUGAUCAGUCACACUGGAACUGAGACACGGUCCAGACUCCUACGGGAGGCAGCAGUGGGGAAUAUUGGACAAUGAGCGAAAGCCUGAUCCAGCCAUGCCGCGUGUGUGAAGAAGGUCUUCGGAUUGUAAAGCACUUUAAGUUGGGAGGAAGGGCAGUAAGUUAAUACCUUGCUGUUUUGACGUUACCAACAGAAUAAGCACCGGCUAACUUCGUGCCAGCAGCCGCGGUAAUACGAAGGGUGCAAGCGUUAAUCGGAAUUACUGGGCGUAAAAGCGCGCGUAGGGUGGUUCACCAAGUUGGAUGUGAAAAUCCCCGGGGCUCAACCCUGGGGAACCUGCAUCC